rnacentral:rRNA from 1 species
UGGCGGACGGGGAGGUAAUGUCUGGGAAACUGCCCGAUGGAGGGGGAUAACUACUGGAAACGGUAGCUAAUACCGCAUAACGUCGCAAGACCAAAGAGGGGGACCUUCGGGCCUCUUGCCAUCGGAUGUGCCCAGAUGGGAUUAGCUAGUAGGUGGGGUAACGGCUCACCUAGGCGACGAUCCCUAGCUGGUCUGAGAGGAUGACCAGCCACACUGGAACUGAGACACGGUCCAG